GGGCGAGUGGCUCAGUGGUAGAGCGCCUUCCUGAUAAGAAGGAGGUCCAAGGUUCGAUCCCUUGCUCGCCCA
rfam:Microgenomates (Woesebacteria) bacterium GW2011_GWA1_39_21 TT39_C0027, whole genome shotgun sequence.